CGCACAUUGCGCCCCUUGGUAUUCCGAGGGGCAUGCCUGUCCGAGCGUCAUACAGCCAAUCCCUUCGGGGGUAUUGGGUCGUGCCGGCAGCGGCAGGCCUUAAAUCUAGUGGCGACAUCGCACGUACUCGAGCGUAGUAGCUGAUCUCGCUCAGGGAAUCGUGCGGGCGUUGACCAGCAAACCUUCCACACGUUAGGUGGACCUCGGAUCAGGUAGGAAUACCCGCUGAACUUAA
rnacentral:misc_RNA from 1 species